rnacentral:rRNA from 1 species
CCUACGGGAGGCAGCAGUGAGGAAUAUUGGUCAAUGGGCGCGAGCCUGAACCAGCCAAGCCGCGUGAGGGAAGACGGUGCUAUGGAUUGUAAACCUCUUUUGUCGGGGAGCAAAAGACGCCACGUGUGGCGUUCCGAGAGUACCCGAAGAAAAAGCAUCGGCUAACUCCGUGCCAGCAGCCGCGGUAAUACGGAGGAUGCGAGCGUUAUCCGGAUUUAUUGGGUUUAAAGGGUGCGCAGGCGGAAGAUCAAGUCAGCGGUAAAAUUGAGGGGCUCAACCUCUUCGAGCCGUUGAAACUGGUUGUCUUGAGUGAGCGAGAGGUAUGCGGAAUGCGUGGUGUAGCGGUGAAAUGCAUAGAUAUCACGCAGAACUCCGAUUGCGAAGGCAGCAUACCGGCGCUCAACUGACGCUGAUGCACGAAAGUGUGGGUAUCGAACAGGAUUAGAUACCCCUGUAGUC